rnacentral:rRNA from 1 species
CGGCAGCACGGGAGCAAUCCUGGUGGCGAGUGGCGAACGGGUGAGUAAUACAUCGGAACGUGUCCUGUAGUGGGGGAUAGCCCGGCGAAAGCCGGAUUAAUACCGCAUACGCUCUACGGAGGAAAGGGGGGGAUCUUAGGACCUCUCGCUACAGGGGCGGCCGAUGGCAGAUUAGCUAGUUGGUGGGGUAAAGGCCUACCGAGGCGACGAUCUGUAGCUGGUCUGAGAGGACGACCAGCCACACUGGGACUGAGACACGGCCCAGACUCCUACGGGAGGCAGCAGUGGGGAAUUUUGGACAAUGGGCGAAAGCCUGAUCCAGCAAUGCCGCGUGUGUGAAGAAGGCCUUCGGGUUGUAAAGCACUUUUGUCCGGAAAGAAAUCCCCUGGGAUAAUACCCCGGGGGGAUGACGGUACCGGAAGAAUAAGCACCGGCUAACUACGUGCCAGCAGCCGCGGUAAUACGUAGGGUGCAAGCGUUAAUCGGAAUUACUGGGCGUAAAGCGUGCGCAGGCGGUUCGCUAAGACAGAUGUGAAAUCCCCGGGCUUAACCUGGGAACUGCAUUUGUGACUGGCGGGCUAGAGUAUGGCAGAGGGGGGUAGAAUUCCACGUGUAGCAGUGAAAUGCGUAGAGAUGUGGAGGAAUACCGAUGGCGAAGGCAGCCCCCUGGGCCAAUACUGACGCUCAUGCACGA